GGUGAGGUGUCAGAUCCCCGGCGAUGGAAAGCAGUCAACUCAUGGGUAGUAAAAAGAAUGUAUUGACAACACUAUAGGUUUGAAAAGGAAAGUUUUAUUAGAUGGAAAGAACAGUGCAGAAGACCGCAGCAGAGGACCUCAGCAAGAGAGAACUAAGUAUAUCAUGGUGGAUUUUUCCUAAGGGAAAUGGUCAAUUACAAAGCACAACAUAAGACUGGAACAUUGGAGUUAAGUAGCAGAGAUCAAAAGAGGAGAUUGCAGAUGGAGGUGUUGUAUGUGACUGUUUUACAUGGAUUCUUCGCUCUGGUAGCAGAUGUUGAAGAAGCUCUAUGAAUGUCCUGUCUCUAUGUCCCAGAAAAAGCAUUCCCAGAAGCACGGAGAAGUGAGGAGAAAAGGCAAUGCACCUGGAGCUGGAGACCAAGGCCCUGUUCUUACUGAUGGCCCUUGGAGCAGAUAUUUGAAUUGGAGAGAUAAAACCGUGGUUUUUGGGGUGUUAAUUUUGGUGGCUGAUGCAUUCUGUGAUUGAUUUGGCUAUUACAACUGGUAUUGAUUUUAAACACAUUAAUUGCAAAAUCUCAAUUGUGAUUUGAUUUCUGUAUUUACAAUACUAAAAACGAGGCUUUCGCCAGGAGAAGACAAUUGGCAGUACUCAGUUGGAAGUGCUUAAUUGUUAAUAUAUAUCAGCCGUGGUUCUUCAGCGUCGUCAGUGUUGCUCAGUCUUGCUCUUUGUGGCGACUACUGAAUGCUUGAAAAAUUCUCUCCUAUACUCCCACUCUGCACUGUAGAAGAGAAAGAGAGGAGAGUGGAAGAAAAAAGAGAGGGAGAGGAGAAAGAAAGAGAGGAGAGAGAAACAUGGGCAUGGAUGAUACAUAAGGUAGUUGUAAACUGUGAUCAGCUUUGAUAAUAACUAGAUAAAUUCUUUUAAUACAAAAAUAUAUAAGGCAUUUUGCCUUUUUUUCAAAUUUCAAAUAAAUGGAUUUGUAUAGAAUGUAGUCUGUUGCCCAGAGUUUUCAUUUAGCAUAAUGCAUUUGAGAUUUAUCCAUGUUGUUGUAUAUUCUUUUUAUUGCUGAGUAGUAUUCCAUUGUGUGGAUAUACCAGUUUGUUUAUCCAUUAACCUUUGAUGGAUAUUUGGGUUUUUUUCAAUAUGAGGCUCUUAUAAAUAAACCUUCUGUAAUCAGGUCUUUGUGUAGUCACACAGUUUGUUUGUUUGUUUGUUUUUUAAAAAGAUGUUAGUAUUGUAAUUGUGUUUAAUAAGAAACUGUUCAGUAUUUCUGCAUGUCUACCAAAAAUACAUGAAAUGUUAGUUGCUUCUUUUAAAAUACUUGGUAUGUUUUUGCUUUUUUAUUUUAGCAACUUAAUAUGUGUGUAUUAUAACCUCAUUGUGGUUUUAAAUUACAUUUUCCUCAGUAACUAAUAAUGCUGAGCAUCUUUUAAUGUAUUUAAUGGUCAUUCAUAUAUCUCCUCAUGAAAUGUCU
rnacentral:lncRNA from 1 species